UCACUUUUAGUGAUAGUACUUAUCACAAGUGUGGGUUGCUAUUUAUAGUUCUCCUAAUUAAUGAUGACGCUUCCGUCAUCCGUCAGGUGCUAUAUGAAGAAGCGUGUGUUGAUGACUACAAGUGAACAACACCGAGGAGGUGCAGAUGAAGAAGAAAACGGCCUCCCUCCCUCCCUCCCUCCUUCCAUCCAUCUAUCCAUCCAUCCUCCUCUUUGUUUACCCCGUGAAUCACUGUAAGCAAAUGCCAUCUGUUUCCUCAUCUGCACCUUAAUUACCCAGCCAACAGGCUAAUGGAGACGAUAUUAAAACGACAUCUUUUUGACAUUCAAAGUAAUUAUGUGCCCGGACCGCUGCUGCAUGACGGGAAGGAGACGACUUGAUGCCUUUGAAAAUAAAAACAACCUGCAUGUACUAUUUUCCCCGUAUAGACUUCAUGGUGCUGUUACAAUUUUACGAGUGGAACGCAGGUCACAUUAUUAGGAACGCCUGCGCAUUUCAUUAAUAGGGGCCAAUAUUUGACAGCAUUUUAGCGGUAUAGGCAACUAUUUUGUUCCUGUUAUAAAAUAUGUC